UAUUGUUUUGGUAACCCUUUGGAUUUCUUUUGCGAGGUGAUAUGGUGAGAGAUCGAUAGUCUGCAUUUAAUGGGAAUGGAGUUGGCGUUGAGAGGCUUUGAAGCAGAAAGAAUGUACUUCACUGCCGAUUCCUUUCAUCAAAGAAUACCACAACCAUUCAUCAAUGCAUCAAGGUCACGGGUGUGGAGGCACAAAGAGAGGAUAAUGGCUGACUCACAUUCACGUGUAAAAGCUGCUUUUGAUUUGUCUCCACUCUGUUUUGUAAUACUAGUCUGGUAUGAGGUCAGGG